AGGAUCAAGAAGGGUUUAAAGAUCCUCUCUUCUCAUUCGAUGGGGUGCUCUUAUGGAAUAUAGGGGUGUCAUGUGAUUAGAUCCCAUGAAGAAUAACAUGCAUGAAAGGAAGAACUUAUUUUUCUGUAAGAUUCUAGAUAUUGAAACCCUAGAUUUGUGGUAUGUGAUAUAAAGUUGUAUAAAAAAUAAAAUAUCUAAUUUAUAAGAU
rnacentral:lncRNA from 1 species